UAACUAUAUUAGAGACAAACAUAAUCCAGUGAGGUAUGUACUUUGUUUCAAUAAUAUAUCUCAGAUGUUGAAAGAAGAUUAAAUAAAAGAGGUAAGAUGAAUUGAAGAAAAUAGGAGAGGCCUCCACCUGUACUAAUCAGUUUGAAUUGGCUUUUGAGAAUCUCUAAAAGUGGAAACCAUGUUGUUGAUAUAUCUGUGAUUGAUAGUUUAUGCGGUGCUGCACAAUGGUAAAUAAAUAUGUUCUUGCCAAGAACAGAAUCUUCAGUAAUCUGACUUCAAUAAAACAAUAUGGCAAUAAUUUAGCAUCUUUUCACUGAUUUUCAAUAUAUGCCAAUAUAUGAGCAUCUUUUUUUCACAAGUUUUAGAAGGAAUAAUUCAAAAUCUGCAGAUGAUCACUAUAGUGUCAAAUCCAAUUUCUUUUGCCAUCUUAUGGGUGAAAAUGCAUUAUAAAAAGUGAAUCAUAUUAGUGUUUCCCUAACCUUGAAAUUGAUGCUUGUUAUAAUUUGCAGACUUCCAAAUUGGGACAAUUUAGAUCAUGAUAUGAUUUGGAGAGUUGAUGCAUGAUUGCAGAUGACUACCAAAAUGGAAAAAAAUCAAUCGUCACCAAUAUAGAGGUAUUUCACAUGUGCAGGUUUGAUUCAUGAUUGCAGGUGCAUGUAUGAUUCAAUUUGUGCAUGAAAAGUCUAUAUAUGCAUAUCCAAUAAUGAUUACUUCAUUUUUAAAUUCAAAUGCGCACCUGUUGUGCGCAUGACAAGUGCGUGAAUAAAAUAAUAUCAUGUUGCGUGCACAUUGCGCUUUUUUUGAAUAGUGUGUCAUAUUUUAAUUUUUGUGUUUGAAUAUUGAUGUGUGUAGAACUACUUCCUGCAGUGAGUGAGCUAGACUGCAUCACGUCUUCUCACAGCCUACCAC
rnacentral:lncRNA from 1 species